rnacentral:tRNA from 1 species
GGAGUGGUAUCGAAGUGGUCAUAACGAGAGCGACUCGAAAUCGUUUGGUCGGUGUGAGCCGGCCCGUGGGUUCGAAUCCCACCCACUCCGCCA